CCAAUAGCGUAUAUUAAAGUUGUUGCAGUUAAAAAGCUCGUAGUUGAAUUUCGGAGUUUGUCGGUUGGUCGGGCUUCAUUGUCCGCACUGACCUGAUGGAUUCCUACCUUCUGAAUAACCAGCAUGCUAUUAAGUUAGUGCGUUGGGGAAGCAGAGCUAUUACCUGGAAAAAAUUAGAGUGCUUAAAGCAGGCUUAUGCUUGAAUAGAUUAGCAUGGAUUAAUAAAAUAGGACGGAAUGGUUCUAUUUUGUUGGUUUCUAGGAGCACCGUAAUGGUUAAGAGGGAUAGUUGAGGGCAUUAGUAUUCAAUUGUCAGAGGUGAAAUUCUUGGAUUUAUUGAAGACUAACUUCUGCGAAAGCAUUUGCCAAGGAUGUUUUCAUUAAUCAAGAACGAAAGUUAGGGGAUCGAAGACGAUCAGAUACCGUCGUAGUCUUAACCAUAAACUAUGCCGACUAGGGAUCGGACGAUGUUAAUUUUUUAAUGACUCGUUCGGCGCCUUACG
rnacentral:misc_RNA from 1 species